GUGCUUGCUUUGGCAGCACAUAUACUAACUAAACUUGGAAAAAUACAGAGAAGAUUAGCAUGACCCCCGCCCUAGGAUGACAUGCAAAUUUAUGAAGCAUUCCAUAUAUUU
ensembl:snRNA U6 U6 spliceosomal RNA